UACGAGGGGUCCUAGCGUUGUUCGGAAUCAUUGGGCGUAAAGAGUAUGUAGGCGGCCUUGUAAGUCAGUUGUGAAAGCCCCGGGCUCAACCCGGGAAGUGCAUCUGAUACUGCUUGGCUUGAAUGUUGGAGAGGGUAGUAGAAUUCCAGGUGUAGUGGUGAAAUACGUAGAUAUCUGGAGGAAUACCGGUGGCGAAGGCGGCUACCUGGCCAAACAUUGACGCUGAGAUACGAAAGCGUGGGGAGCAAACAGG
rnacentral:ncRNA from 2 species